rnacentral:rRNA from 1 species
UACAGAGGGGGCAAGCGUUAUUCGGAAUUAUUGGGCGUAAAGGGCGCGUAGGCGGCUGUCGAAGUGGAGGUGAAAUCCCUCGGCUUAACCGAGGAACUGCCGUCCAAACUGCUUCGCUUGAGACCGGGAGAGGUGAGUGGAAUUCCCAGUGUAGCGGUGAAAUGCGUAGAUAUUGGGAGGAACACCAGUGGCGAAGGCGGCUCACUGGACCGGUACUGACGCUGAUGCGCGAAAGCGUGGGGAGCAAACGGGG